AUUGAACGCUGGCGGCAGGCCUAACACAUGCAAGUCGAACGAGUGGCGGACGGGUGAGUAAUGUCUGGGAAACUGCCUGAUGGAGGGGGAUAACUACUGGAAACGGUAGCUAAUACCGCAUACCAUCAGAUUUGCCCAGCUGGGAUUAGCUUGUUGGUGGGGUAACGGCUCACCAAGGCGACGAUCCCUCGCUGGUCUGAGAGGAUGACCAGCCAGGCUGGAACUGAGACACGGCCCAGACUCAUACGGGAGGGAGGGGUGGGGAAUAUUGCACAAUGGGAGGAAGCCUGAUGCAGCCAUGCCGCGUGUAUGAAGAGGGCCUUCGGGUUGUAAAGUACUUUCAGCGGGAAAGAGUUACCCGCAGAAGAAGCACCGGCUAACUCCGUGCCAGCAGCCGCGGUAAUUC
rnacentral:rRNA from 1 species